CUACGGGAUGCAGCAGUGGGGAAUUUUGCGCAAUGGGGGAAACCCUGACGCAGCGAUACCGCGUGAGUGAAGAAGGCCUUUGGGUCGUAAAGCUCUUUUCUAAGGGAAGAUAGUGACGGUACCUUAGGAAUAAGCGCCGGCUAACUCCGUGCCAGCAGCCGCGGUAAUACGGAGGGCGCGAGCGUUGUUCGGAUUUACUGGGCGUAAAGGGCGCGUAGGCGGCCUGGCAAGUUAAGGGUGAAAUCCCGGGGCUUAACCCCGGAACUGCUCUUAAAACUGCCAAGCUAGAGAUGGUCAGAGGCGGGUGGAAUUCCAGGUGUAGAGGUGAAAUUCGUAGAUAUCUGGAGGAACACCGGUGGCGAAGGCGGCCCGCUGGGGCCAUUCUGACGCUGAGGCGCGAAAGCGUGGGGAGCGAACGGGAUUAGAUACCCGCGUAGUC
rnacentral:rRNA from 1 species